rnacentral:rRNA from 1 species
UACGGAGGGGGCUAGCGUUGUUCGGAAUUACUGGGCGUAAAGCGCACGUAGGCGGACUGUUAAGUCGGGGGUGAAAUCCUGGGGCUCAACCUCAGAAUUGCCUCCGAUACUGGCAGUCUCGAGUGCGGGAGAGGUGAGUGGAAUUCCCAGUGUAGAGGUGAAAUUCGUAGAUAUUGGGAAGAACACCAGUGGCGAAGGCGGCUCGCUGGCCCGUAACUGACGCUGAGGUGCGAAAGCGUGGGGAGCAAACAGG